CCAAAAACUCCAAGAAACCGACCUUGCCCAGAAUAGGUUUCCCUCCCCUGGGGGUACCGCCAUAACAGACUAUAAAAGCCUGUUCUGGAUUUUCGUCUCUUUUCUCUUAUUUCUUCCUCUUGGACACCCACUUUUCUUUACAUAGAACUCUUCUAGACAUCCCUACAAAGUAGUUCAAGCUUUAGUUCCAAUCUUUAGACCUUAAACUCAUAUAGAAAACCUUGCUGAAAGAUCACAUAAGUUGUUGGGAAGCUGUAGGAGUAGUUAACCAAUUGGAUUAAGGAGUUUCGUGGCUUUAAGCAUCCUUAGUAAAGAGUGAAAUAUUGUUGCAGGUUUGGUGUUGUGAGCUCAGGAUUCUGAAGUGAAGCAAGAUAAAGAUGUCGUCGUAGCUUAUGGAUUGAGUUUGUAUCUAGAUAGUGUAUUUGAGAUUAGAUAUUUAUAUUUCGUUGUAUACAAUAUUUGGGAAUAUUAGUCGAGAUAUCGGUGUAAUUGAAGUCUUAUAUAAAGGAUUUUGUUUUGUGGGCCAAUAACCCACAGGUUCA